GACAGAGGGUGCAAACGUUGUUCGGAAUUACUGGGCGUAAAGCGCGUGUAGGCGGCUUUGCAAGUCGGAUGUGAAAUCCCACGGCUCAACCGUGGAAGUGCAUUCGAAACUGCAAGGCUAGAGUCCUGGAGAGGAAGGUGGAAUGCUUGGUGUAGAGGUGAAAUUCGUAGAUAUUCGGAAGAACACCAGUGGCGAAGGCGACUUACUGGACACAUAUUGACGCUGAGGUGCGAAAGCGUGGGGAGCAAACAGG
rnacentral:rRNA from 1 species